rnacentral:rRNA from 1 species
GACGUAGGGGGCGAGCGUUGUCCGGAUUUAUUGGGCGUAGAGCGUGCGUAGGCGGCUGCGCAAGUCGGUUGUGAAACCCCGGGGCUCAACCCCGGAACUGCAUCCGAUACUGCGUGGCUAGAGGUAGGUAGGGGAGAUCGGAAUUCCUGGUGUAGCGGUGAAAUGCGCAGAUAUCAGGAGGAACACCGGUGGCGAAGGCAGUCUUCUGGGCCAAAACUGACGCUGAGGAGCGAAAGCGUGGGGAGCGAACAGG